rnacentral:lncRNA from 1 species
AAUCGUUACCUCCCGACCAAUAACAAACAACGACAGACGACAUAAUUAAGCUAGAACAUGAUUAAUGGUACUAGAAUUGAGACAACUAGAUGUACGUCGCCUGACAAAAAGUAGGUUUGUUUACUAAUAGUAACCUCCAUAUCUUUAUCCACCUCCACCGCCUCCGCCACCUCCACCUCCACCACCUCCACCGUUUCCACUUCCAUAUCCACUUCCCGAUCCACUUCCAGAACCAUAGCCAUUACCAUUUCCUCCACCUCCUCCACCUCCACCACCACCUCCUCCUCCUCCUCCUCCCAAGCCUCCAUAACCAUUACCUCGUCCAGAACCAUAUCCCGAUCCAGAUCCAGAUCCAUAUCCUUGACCAUAACCAUUGUUAUACCUGUUAUAGUACCUGUUGUACCUGUUAUUAUAAUAAUUAUCAUACCUCCUGUUGUCUCUGGCGAAGUAAUUUUGUCUAUAGGCAGAGACAACACUCAAACAAAGCAACAUUAGAAGGGCCACAAAAACAAUCUUGGAAUCGGCCAUUGUUGGAGAUGAAGAUUAACUCAAGAGAAUUAGCUAGGCCGGCCGGAUUAACCAAGAAAGUAGUUUGAGAU